rnacentral:rRNA from 1 species
UCAGGCCUAACACAUGCAAGUCGAGCGCGCCCUUCGGGGUGAGCGGCGGACGGGUUAGUAACGCGUGGGAAUAUACCCUUUGGUACGGAAUAGCCUCUGGAAACGGAGAGUAAUACCGUAUGUGCCCUUCGGGGGAAAGAUUUAUCGCCAAAGGAUUAGCCCGCGUUAGAUUAGGUAGUUGGUGGGGUAAUGGCCUACCAAGCUUACGAUCUAUAGCUGGUUUUAGAGGAUGAUCAGCAACACUGGGACUGAGACACGGCCCAGACUCCUACGGGAGGCAGCAGUGGGGAAUCUUGGACAAUGGGGGCAACCCUGAUCCAGCCAUGCCGCGUGAGUGAUGAAGGCCUUAGGGUCGUAAAGCUCUUUCGCCUGUGAAGAUAAUGACGGUAGCAGGUAAAGAAACCCCGGCUAACUCCGUGCCAGCAGCCGCGGUAAUACGGAGGGGGUUAGCGUUGUUCGGAAUUACUGGGCGUAAAGCGCACGUAGGCGGAUCGGAAAGUUGGGGGUGAAAUCCCGGGGCUCAACCCCGGAACUGCCUCCAAAACUAUCGGUCUAGAGUUCGAGAGAGGUGAGUGGAAUUCCGAGUGUAGAGGUGAAAUUCGUAGAUAUUCGGAGGAACACCAGUGGCGAAGGCGGCUCACUGGCUCGAUACUGACGCUGAGGUGCGAAAGUGUGGGGAGCAAACAGGAUUAGAUACCCU